rnacentral:rRNA from 1 species
GGACUGCGGGUGCUAUACAUGCAAGUCGAGCGAACAGAUAAGGAGCUUGCUCCUUUGACGUUAGCGGCGGACGGGUGAGUAACACGUGGGUAACCUACCUAUAAGACUGGGAUAACUUCGGGAAACCGGAGCUAAUACCGGAUAACAUUUGGAACCGCAUGGUUCUAAAGUGAAAGAUGGUUUUGCUAUCACUUAUAGAUGGACCCGCGCCGUAUUAGCUAGUUGGUAAGGUAACGGCUUACCAAGGCGACGAUACGUAGCCGACCUGAGAGGGUGAUCGGCCACACUGGAACUGAGACACGGUCCAGACUCCUACGGGAGGCAGCAGUAGGGAAUCUUCCGCAAUGGGCGAAAGCCUGACGGAGCAACGCCGCGUGAGUGAUGAAGGGUUUCGGCUCGUAAAACUCUGUUAUUAGGGAAGAACAAAUGUGUAAGUAACUGUGCACGUCUUGACGGUACCUAAUCAGAAAGCCACGGCUAACUACGUGCCAGCAGCCGCGGUAAUACGUAGGUGGCAAGCGUUAUCCGGAAUUAUUGGGCGUAAAGCGCGCGUAGGCGGUUUCUUAAGUCUGAUGUGAAAGCCCACGGCUCAACCGUGGAGGGUCAUUGGAAACUGGGAAACUUGAGUGCAGAAGAGGAAAGUGGAAUUCCAUGUGUAGCGGUGAAAUGCGCAGAGAUAUGGAGGAACACCAGUGGCGAAGGCGACUUUCUGGUCUGUAACUGACGCUGAUGUGCGAAAGCGUGGGGAUCAAACAGGAUUAGAUACCCUGGUAGUCCACGCCGUAAACGAUGAGUGCUAAGUGUUAGGGGGUUUCCGCCCCUUAGUGCUGCAGCUAACGCAUUAAGCACUCCGCCUGGGGAGUACGACCGCAAGGUUGAAACUCAAAGGAAUUGACGGGGACCCGCACAAGCGGUGGAGCAUGUGGUUUAAUUCGAAGCAACGCGAAGAACCUUACCAAAUCUUGACAUCCUUUGAAAACUCUAGAGAUAGAGCCUUCCCCUUCGGGGGACAAAGUGACAGGUGGUGCAUGGUUGUCGUCAGCUCGUGUCGUGAGAUGUUGGGUUAAGUCCCGCAACGAGCGCAACCCUUAAGCUUAGUUGCCAUCAUUAAGUUGGGCACUCUAGGUUGACUGCCGGUGACAAACCGGAGGAAGGUGGGGAUGACGUCAAAUCAUCAUGCCCCUUAUGAUUUGGGCUACACACGUGCUACAAUGGACAAUACAAAGGGCAGCUAAACCGCGAGGUCAUGCAAAUCCCAUAAAGUUGUUCUCAGUUCGGAUUGUAGUCUGCAACUCGACUACAUGAAGCUGGAAUCGCUAGUAAUCGUAGAUCAGCAUGCUACGGUGAAUACGUUCCCGGGUCUUGUACACACCGCCCGUCACACCACGAGAGUUUGUAACACCCGAAGCCGGUGGAGUAACCAUUUAUGGAGCUAGCCGUCGAAGUGACAAAAGGG